UUUUCUUUCUCUCUAGAUUAUCGAGCGUAUUCUUGUGAGUAUUUUGAUACUUUGAGUGUUGUUAUACGGUGCAAGUUCUGUCAGCACUAUACCCGAAAUUCAGUCAGAAGUACGGUUAUUUUGAGGUAAGGGAUGUUAUUUUCUUCUUAAAUGAUAUUAUUUUCUUCAAUAUCAUUAUGCCGGAAUAUUGGUGAACUUUUUAAUCAAAUUUGGAACCUUUUGUGUCGGGAUUACUAUUCACGUAUACGACACUAUUCACGUAUACGGCACUAUUCAUGAAUACGACACUAUUCACGAAUACGACACUAUUCACCGAAAAAUAAAAAAAUUUCUUUUUGUCCAAGAUGUCUAUUUUGGCUACUAUCUUUGAUUGUAUCCAUGUUUUAAUCGUUAUUUUUGAAUUCUACUUCAAAAUUAGUUAUUAUGGAGUAUUAUUGAUCUUGGAUAAAACUGUUAUACGAAUCCUUAAUAUUUGUCCUUCUGUCUCACUGGAUUCGUUUUCUUUAAAAUAUUUUUCAUCAUCCUCAAUCCUAAAUGAUGAUAUUACUGAAUAUCUUUAGCCUGUAGUGCAAAGAUGAAUGAUUAGUGAAUAUGUUUGGCCCGUAGUGCAAAGGUGAACAGGUGUUAAGAUAAACAUGACCAACUGGUGAUACUUGAUGAAUAUUUUUGGCAUGUAGUGCAAAGAUGAAUAUUUGAUUAAAAGAUGUAUAUUGAUUGAUGUUACAGGGAUAAAAUAUUGAUGAUGGACUUUUAAAUCUUGGAAGAUCGUAGAAUUCAUUCUCUACGUGACUCUUCUAAUGGAUUGCUAUUUCCGUUGUGUUUGUUGAUCUAAAACUUGUUGUCUAUUAUAUUCUAUCAGAUUUUCCCUGUUGAAGACUAAUGAUAAUUUGUUGUAUAUUAUCUUAGUCAUAAUAUUCUUUACUGGGCUAGUUGAGCUCACCCUUUUCCUUUUUGUUCCAUUUUUCUUCUCAGGAGGUGAGAACAUAGCAGGAUCGAGUCGGGGUAUAGAAUGAUGGUUCUAGAAAGAUAUUUUAGCUGUCCUCACUAUUUCUAUAAAAUAGUGUAUGAAUAAUUGUAAUGAGGACUUAUUUGGG
rnacentral:lncRNA from 1 species